rnacentral:rRNA from 1 species
CACGUAGGGGGCGAGCGUUGUCCGGAUUUAUUGGGCGUAAAGAGCUCGUAGGCGGCUCCGUAAGUGAGGUGUGAAAGUCCAGGGCUCAACCCUGGAAUGCCGGCGGAUACUGUCGGGCUAGAGUCCGGAAGAGGCAAGUGGAAUUCCCGGUGUAGCGGUGAAAUGCGCAGAUAUCGGGAGGAACACCUAUGGCGAAGGCAGCUUGCUGGGACGGUACUGACGCUGAGACGCGAAAGCGUGGGGAGCAAACAGG